CCAAAGACUGUUUUAGUUAUUGAAAUAAAUUCCGCUGCGAAGUAUUAAAGAUCUUGUAUUUGAAUUUUAAAGGAUAAAUAGUUAUUUAUUCAGUUUAUGAUUUUAAGAAAAGAAUGUGACAUUCCGUUUAUGUUGAAAAACUCUGAUUAUUUAUGCGAAAUUUUUAUGUUGGGAAAACGGGGUGUUACAAUUGGUAUCAGAGCAGGUCGGUCCGUCCGGCCAAGUAGUUGAGUCGUGUCAAGUCGUGUGACAAUUGAAAUACUGUCUUAUGUUGUCUUGAUUGUUGUUGUGUUUUCUGACUAAUGGUUAUGUUUAUUAUGUGAUCAUGUUUGAUUGACUAACUUUGAUGUGGCUUACAUGUUUUGUUUGAAGUUUCUAUUUGGCUAUGUUUGGUUUAAGAUGUUUAGGCAAUAAUUGAAUUCCUUUCUUGUGUGCUUUGAAUUUCGAGGACGAAAUUCUUUUAAGGGGGGUGGAGUUGUAAC
rnacentral:lncRNA from 1 species